AUUGAACGCUGGCGGCAGGCUUAACACAUGCAAGUCGAACGGUAACAGGAAGAAAGCUUGCUUUCUUUGCUGACGAGUGGCGGACGGGUGAGUAAUGCUUGGGAAUCUGUUUCAUGGAGGGGGAUAACUACGGGAAACUGUAGCUAAUACCGCGUAAUAUCGAGAGAUUAAAUGUGUGGGACCGUAAGGCCACAUGCCAUGAAGUGAGCCCAAGUGGGAUUAGAUAGUUGGUGAGGUAAUGGCUCACCAAGUCGGCGAUCUCUAGCUGGUCUGAGAGGAUGACCAGCCACACUGGGACUGAGACACGGCCCAGACUCCUACGGGAGGCAGCAGUGGGGAAUAUUGCACAAUGGGCGCAAGCCUGAUGCAGCCAUGCCGCGUGAAUGAAGAAGGCCUUCGGGUUGUAAAGUUCUUUCGGUGGUGAGGAAGGUUGACGUGUUAAUAGCACGUUGAUUUGACGUUAGCCACAGAAGAAGCACCGGCUAACUCCGUGCCAGCAGCCGCGGUAAUACGGAGGGUGCGAGCGUUAAUCGGAAUAACUGGGCGUAAAGGGCACGCAGGCGGUGACUUAAGUGAGGUGUGAAAGCCCUGGGCUUAACCUAGGAAUUGCAUUUCAUACUGGGUCGCUAGAGUAUUUUAGGGAGGGGUAGAAUUCCACGUGUAGCGGUGAAAUGCGUAGAGAUGUGGAGGAAUACCGAAGGCGAAGGCAGCCCCUUGGGAAUGUACUGACGCUCAUGUGCGAAAGCGUGGGGAGCAAACAGG
rnacentral:rRNA from 1 species